rnacentral:lncRNA from 1 species
CUCUCUCCAGUUUGACUUUGCAAUAACACAGCCCACGAGGGUCACUGUGACCUUGAAACAGUCCUGGCUACUUUAAAAUUAGCUGCCGCCUACUCACUAGCAUUUACCCUAACCCAGCUUCAAUACUCAGGGCACCUCCAUGGUCAUUGGUGGAUGUCACAGCGUCACAGCAAUGAGACGUGACUUUCCUGACAUGGUGUCUGGGCGGGGGCAGAACGAGCCAUGCUUUGGUGUCUCGU